CGGAUAAGAAAUACUAAUUGGAAAAUGGUUUUUCUUAAAGGCAACGCCUAAGGAUGAGUCGGCGGCGGAUUAGGUAGUUGGUGGUGUAAAGGACCACCAAGCCAAUGAUCCGUAGGGGCCUUGAAAGAGGUAGCCUCGAGAAGGGCACUGAGACACUGGCCCUAGCCCUACGGGGUGCAGCAGGCGCGAAAACUUUCCAAUGUACGUAAGUGUGAGAAGGGAAUCCAGAGUGCUCAAGUUUUUACUUGGGCUUUUGCCAAAUGUAAAUAGUUUGGCGAAUAAGUGGUGGGUAAGACGGGUGCCAGCCGCCGCGGUAACACCUGCGCCACGAGUGGGGACCACGAUUAUUGGGCCUAAAGCGUCCGUAGCCGGUCAAGUAAAUCUUUUGUGAAAUCAUCGGGCUUAACUCGAUGUCGUGCAGGAGACACUGCUUGACUAGGAACCGGGAGGAGUUAGAAGUAUGCUGGGGGGAGCGGUAAAAUGCUAUAAUCCCCAGUAGACUACCUGUGGCAGAGGCGUCUGACCAGAACGGAUUCGACGGUGAGGGACGAGAGCUAGGGGAGCGAACCGGAUUAGAUACCCGAGUAGUCCUAGCUGUAAACCCUGCGAGCUAGGUGUUACAUAUCCGUUUAGGAUAUGUAGUG
rnacentral:rRNA from 1 species